rnacentral:rRNA from 8 species
CUGGACCUCAGCUCAGGCG